GAGUUUGAUCCUGGCUCAGGAUGAACGCUGGCGGCGUGCCUAACACAUGCAAGUCGAGCGAAGCGCUUACGACAGAACCUUCGGGGAAAGAUGUAAGGGACUGAGCGGCGGACGGGUGAGUAACGCGUGGGUAACCUGCCUCAUACAGGGGGAUAACAGUUGGAAACGGCUGCUAAUACCGCAUAAGCGCACAGUACCGCAUGGUACGGUGCGAAAAACUCCGGUGGUAUAAGAUGGACCCGCGUCUGAUUAGCUUGUUGGUGAGGUAACGGCCCACCAAGGCGACGAUCAGUAGCCGGCCUGAGAGGGUGAACGGCCACAUUGGGACUGAGACACGGCCCAGACUCCUACGGGAGGCAGCAGUGGGGAAUAUUGCACAAUGGGGGAAACCCUGAUGCAGCGACGCCGCGUGGAGGAAGAAGGUCUUCGGAUUGUAAACUCCUGUUGUUGGGGAAGAUAAUGGCGGUACCCAACAAGGAAGUGACGGCUAACUACGUGCCAGCCGCCGCGGUAAUUU
rnacentral:rRNA from 1 species